AAGUCGUAACAAGGUAACCGUAGGUGAACCUGCGGUUGGAUCAUUAUUGAAAUUAUAAUCCAAUCUUUUUUUCUCAUAACUUCUGUUAAAAGGAGGCUAUGAGAUUGAAGGAAACAUCAUGUGAACUUGUUUAAUUGUCUCUGGUGGGUUAAAACGAUAAAGUAGUUUGAAAAAAUUACUUUACCCGGAAUGUGUGUGGCUUGGUGUUUGUGGGUAAAUUAUAUUUAUCCAUUCCCACUCCUCCACCCCCAUUUACCCACUAUUUUUUUGUAUAUCAAAACCUGUUCUGUUUAACCUGGACCGAAUUUUUAAAAUGUUUUUUUCCUUUAAAAGAAAAUAACAAAUCUUAAAAAAAAAAACAACUUUUGACAACGGAUCUCUAGGCUCUC
rnacentral:misc_RNA from 1 species